CACGUAGGGGGCAAGCGUUGUCCGGAUUUAUUGGGCGUAAAGAGCUCGUAGGCGGCUCAGUAAGUCGGGUGUGAAACCUCCAGGCUCAACCUGGAGACGCCACCCGAUACUGCUGUGGCUUGAGUCCGGUAGGGGAGCGUGGAAUUCCUGGUGUAGCGGUGAAAUGCGUAGAUAUCAGGAGGAACACCGGUGGUGUAGACGGCUCUCUGGACCGUAACUGACGCUGAGACACGAAAGCGUGGGUAGCAAACAGG
rnacentral:rRNA from 1 species